rnacentral:rRNA from 1 species
AGUAAAAGUCGUAACAAGGUUUCCGUAGGUGAGCCUGCGGAAGGAUCAUUGCCGAGUGCGGGCCCUCUGGGUCCAACCUCCCAUCCGUGUCUAUCUGUACCCUGUUGCUUCGGCGUGGCCACGGCCCGCCGGAGACUAACAUUUGAACGCUGUCUGAAGUUUGCAGUCUGAGUUUUUAGUUAAACAAUCGUUAAAACUUUCAACAACGGAUCUCUUGGUUCCGGCAUCGAUGAAGAACGCAGCGAAAUGCGAUAAUUAAUGUGAAUUGCAGAAUUCGGUGAAUCAUCGAGUCUUUGAACGCACAUUGCGCCCCCUGGUAUUCCGGGGGGCAUGCCUGUCCGAGCGUCAUUGCUGCCCUCAAGCACGGCUUGUGUGUUGGGCUUCCGUCCCUGGCAACGGGGACGGGCCCAAAAGGCAGUGGCGGCACCAUGUCUGGUCCUCGAGCGUAUGGGGCUUUGUCACCCGCUCCCGUAGGUCCAGCUGGCAGCUAGCCUCGCAACCAAUCUUUUUAACCAGGUUGACCUCGGAUCAGGUAGGGAUACCCGCUGAACUUAAGCAUAUCAAUAAGCGGAGGAAAAGAAACCAACAGGGAUUGCCCCAGUAACG